UCGACGGAGAGUUUGAUCCUGGCUCAGGACGAACGCUGGCGGCGUGCUUAACACAUGCAAGUCGAACGAGGCAGCGGCCUUCGGGCCGUUGUCGAGUGGCGAACGGGUGAGUAACACGUGAGGAACCUGCCCCGGAGACCGGGAUAACCAGGGGAAACCCUGGCUAAUACCGGAUGCCCUCGGAUGGUCGCAUGGCCGACCGAGGAAAUGCUCAGGUGCUCCGGGAGGGCCUCGCGGCCUAUCAGCUAGUUGGCGGGGUAACGGCCCACCAAGGCAUCGACGGGUAGCUGGUCUGAGAGGACGAUCAGCCACACUGGGACUGAGACACGGCCCAGACUCCUACGGGAGGCAGCAGUGGGGAAUAUUGCGCAAUGGGCGAAAGCCUGACGCAGCAACGCCGCGUGAGGGAUGACGGCUUUCGGGUUGUAAACCUCUUUCAGUGAUGACGAAAAUGACGGUAGUCACAGAAGAAGCUCCGGCCAACUACGUGCCAGCAGCCGCGGUAACACGUAGGGAGCGAGCGUUGUCCGGAUUUAUUGGGCGUAAAGAGCUCGUAGGCGGUUUCGUAAGUCGGAUGUGAAAACUCAGGGCUCAACCCUGAGACGCCAUCUGAUACUGCGAUGACUAGAGUCCGGUAGAGGAGCAUGGAAUUCCUGGUGUAGCGGUGGAAUGCGCAGAUAUCAGGAGGAACACCAACGGCGAAGGCAGUGCUCUGGGCCGGUACUGACGCUGAGGAGCGAAAGCAUGGGGAGCAAACAGGAUUAGAUACCCUGGUAGUCCAUGCCGUAAACGUUGGGCACUAGGUGUGGGGUCUUCUAACGGAUUCCGUGCCGUAGCUAACGCAUUAAGUGCCCCGCCUGGGGAGUACGGCCGCAAG
rnacentral:rRNA from 1 species